AGAACGAACGCUGGCGGCAUGCCUAACACAUGCAAGUCGAACGAGACCUUCGGGUCUAGUGGCGCACGGGUGCGUAACGCGUGGGAAUCUACCCUUGGGUUCGGAAUAACAGUUGGAAACGACUGCUAAUACCGGAUGAUGUCGCAAGACCAAAGAUUUAUCGCCCAGGGAUGAGCCCGCGUAGGAUUAGCUAGUUGGUGAGGUAAAGGCUCACCAAGGCACGAUCCUUAGCUGGUCUGAGAGGAAGAUCAGCCACACUGGGACUGAGACACGGCCCAGACUCCUACGGGAGGCAGCAGUAGGGGAAUAGUUGGACAAGUGGGACGAAAGCCUGAUCCAGCAAUGCCGCGUGAGUGAUGAACGGUCCUUAGGGUUAGUAAAGU
rnacentral:rRNA from 1 species